rnacentral:rRNA from 1 species
UACGAAGGGGGCUAGCGUUGCUCGGAAUCACUGGGCGUAAAGCGCACGUAGGCGGACUCUUAAGUCGGUGGUGAAAUCCUGGAGCUCAACUCCAGAACUGCCUUCGAUACUGAGAGUCUCGAGUCCGGGAGAGGUGAGUGGAACUGCGAGUGUAGAGGUGAAAUUCGUAGAUAUUCGCAGGAACACCAGUGGCGAAGGCGGCUCACUGGUCCGAUACUGACGCUGAGGUGCGAAAGCGUGGGGAGCAAACAGG